GCCCGGUUAGCUCUGCCGGUAGAGCGUUGGACUUUUAAUCCAAAGGCCAAGGUUUCAAGUCCCUUAUCGGGCU
rfam:Ciona savignyi cont_31776, whole genome shotgun sequence.